rnacentral:rRNA from 1 species
GAUGAACGCUAGCGGCAGGCUUAACACAUGCAAGUCGAGGGGCAGCGCGAUGUAGCAAUACAUUGGCGGCGACCGGCGCACGGGUGCGUAACACGUAUGGAACUUACCCUUUACUGGGAGAUAGCCCGGAGAAAUCCGGAUUAAUAUCCCAUAAUAAACGAAGUGGCAUCACUUUGUUUUGAAAGCUCCGGCGGUAAAGGAUGGCCAUGCGCACGAUUAGCUAGUAGGUGAGGUAACGGCUCACCUAGGCUACGAUCCGUUAGGGGGCCUGAGAGGGUUAUCCCCCACACUGGUACUGAGACACGGACCAGACUCCUACGGGAGCAGCAGUGAGGAAUAUUGCGCAAUGGAGGCAACUCUGACGCAGCCAUGCCGCGUGCAGGGAAGAAGGCGCUACGCGUUGUAAACUGCUUUUAACCGGGAGAAACCCUCCGACGUGUCGGAGGUUGACGGUACCGGAGGAAUAAGCACCGGCUAACUUCGUGCCAGCAGCCGCG